rnacentral:rRNA from 1 species
AGAGAACGCUGGCGGCAGGCCUAACACAUGCAAGUCGAACGAACUCUUCGGAGUUAGUGGCGGACGGGUGAGUAACACGUGGGAACGUGCCUUUAGGUUCGGAAUAACUCAGGGAAACUUGUGCUAAUACCGAAUGUGCCCUUCGGGGGAAAGAUUUAUCGCCUUUAGAGCGGCCCGCGUCUGAUUAGCUAGUUGGUGAGGUAAAGGCUCACCAAGGCGACGAUCAGUAGCUGGUCUGAGAGGAUGAUCAGCCACAUUGGGACUGAGACACGGCCCAAACUCCUACGGGAGGCAGCAGUGGGGAAUCUUGCGCAAUGGGCGAAAGCCUGACGCAGCCAUGCCGCGUGAAUGAUGAAGGUCUUAGGAUUGUAAAAUUCUUUCACCGGGGACGAUAAUGACGGUACCCGGAGAAGAAGCCCCGGCUAACUUCGUG